rnacentral:misc_RNA from 1 species
AAGUCGUAACAAGGUUUCCGUAGGUGAACCUGCGGAAGGAUCAUUAUUAAAUAGUUACUUCGGUAACUUUAAUAUCCCUAACACCUGUGCAUUUUGUCGCUCCGGCGAUAUCAUACAAACAUCAGUGUAAUGAAUGUAAAUUAUUAUAACAAAUACAACUUUCAACAACGGAUCUCUUGGCUCUC